rnacentral:rRNA from 1 species
GUGGGGUGCAAGCGUUGUUCGGAAUUACUGGGCGUAAAGCGCGUGUAGGCGGCCUAUUAUGUCAGGUGUGAAAGCCCUCGGCCUAACCGAGGAAGUGCGCCUGAAACUGCUAGGCUUGAGUACGAGAGAGGAGGACGGAAUUCCCAGUGUAGAGGUGAAAUUCGUAGAUAUUGGGAGGAACACCGGUGGCGAAAGCGGUUCUCUGGAUCGAUACUGACGCUGAGACGCGAAAGCGUGGGGAGCAAACAGGAUUAGAUACCCUGGUAGUCCACGCUGUAAACGAUGGAUAUUAGUUGUUGCGAGUUUAACCCUCGCAGUGACGACGCUAACGCAUUAAAUAUCCCGCCUGGGGAUUACGGCCGCAAGGUUA